rnacentral:misc_RNA from 1 species
AAGUCGUAACAAGGUUUCCGUAGGUGAACCUGCGGAAGGAUCAUUAACGCAUCUCUGGCGGGCUGCCUCCGCGCCCUGCUCCGGUCCGAAAGGCCGUGCAGCGGGCGAGCCGGCCCCGUCCAACCUUCACAAACCCACCGUGCACAUUGACGGCGGAAGGGCCCUCUCGGGCUCGGAAGCCGCUUCUACAAACCCUAAACCAUUCGAAUGUUCAGCGGCCUCUGUGUCGCCUAAAUUUUGAAACAACUUUCAACAACGGAUCUCUUGGCUCUC